rnacentral:rRNA from 1 species
AUUGAACGCUGGCGGCAGGCCUAACACAUGCAAGUCGAGCGGAUGAAGGGAGCUUGCUCCUGGAUUCAGCGGCGGACGGGUGAGUAAUGCCUAGGAAUCUGCCUGGUAGUGGGGGAUAACGUCCGGAAACGGGCGCUAAUACCGCAUACGUCCUGAGGGAGAAAGUGGGGGAUCUUCGGACCUCACGCUAUCAGAUGAGCCUAGGUCGGAUUAACUAGUUGGUGGGGUAAAGGCCUACCAAGGCGACGAUCCGUAACUGGUCUGAGAGGAUGAUCAGUCACACUGGAACUGAGACACGGUCCGGACUCCUACGGGAGGCAGCAGUGGGGAAUAUUGGACAAUGGGCGAAAGCCUGAUCCAGCCAUGCCGCGUGUGUGAAGAAGGUCUUCGGAUUGUAAAGCACUUUAAGUUGGGAGGAAGGGCAGUAAGUUAAUACCUUGCUGUUUUGACGUUACCAACAGAAUAAGCACCGGCUAACUUCGUG